GUACACUUGGUGAGGGCACCUUUUGCAAGCAGGGUCUCAACUUGCUUGGUGAUGGCUUCAGCUUGUGCUGGCUUCAGAGGAUACUGAGGUCUACGAGGGGGGAGUGCACCAGGCAGGAGCUGGACCAGGACUGGGGGUACAUGUAAGCGUCCAAUAUCAUCCGGGCCGGUGGACCAAAGUUCUUGGGGGAUACGAUCCAGGGCACUGGGGGUGUGUGUGACCCGUGCAUUCCCUGUAUUGUCAGUUAGAUUCAACAAAAUUGGGAGUGAGCAGAGUACAGAAGUAUCUUUCUGCGAUAAGGGGGUUGUCAACUCAACCUGUCCAUCAGCAGUAAAGGUAAUGGAAGCCUGGAGCCGAGAGAGAACAUCGGCACCUAGGAGGUUAAUGGGGCAGGUGGAGGAAACAACAAAACGGGACAGGAUAUGUGAGCCUACAUGUAAGAGCUUGGUGAGGGGGUUACUGCGUGGUGUACCAUCCACCCCAACACAGGAGACAUCAGUGUCAGAUAGGAAGGAAGGGUCUGGCAGGUCUUGUUCCCUAAGGACACUACGGGCUGCACCUGUGUCAACUAAAAAGGUGGUUGGGUGACCCUCCACGGGGAGAACUACAGUAGCUAAAGGUCCUCCUCCAUCCCCCGCAGACACUGCCAUGGCAGGGGUUGCUGACACAGGCUUGCCAGUUACCUAUUGUAAUAAAUCUAGGUGGGCUUGAUCCGGUCCCUGGUACCGGCGGGAGGUGGAGGGAGGGUUAGCAGUAUGCAUAGGUGGGCGGGAUGGACGGAGGGCAUGGCGGGGAUGAGGUGGGUUGUCUUGGAGGUCAUCAGUAUCAUACCCUUCAGCGGAGGGCGAGGUGUAUGCACGGGCUUCUGCUGCGGGGAGCCGGGCUUGGGAAUACUCAGGAGGCGGAGGGGGAGGAGGUGGAGGAGGUAACUGAGGCAACUGUGGAUGGGGUAGGGCAGGGAGGUAACCGGUGGAGGGGAAACUGUAACUGGUGACAUGUGGAUUUUGGUACCGGGGAGUCUGCUGGCGGAACACUCUAGGGUGUGGGCAAUCUCUUCUAAAGUGACCUGGCUGAUUACAAUUAAAGCAGGUCCGGAUUGUCGUGACAGACCGAUCACGGGAGAAAGGGAUUGGUGCAGGCAGUGUCUGGGGGGGCUGGGUGUACUGUUGGGGAAACAUCUGAGGACCCUGGCUUGGACCAGCGAAUGGGGUGGAGGUAGCAUACAUCAGAGGACUGGGUCUACGUUGUGUAGGUAGCAAAACAGAUUCUAAGCCCUUGGCAACUAGCAAAAGAGUGUCCAGUGGAAUAAUUCUAUACUCAGGCCGAGCUAAGAUUAACCCCUUACGGAUGUGUUCUCUAAGCCCUGCCACAAAGGCUGCAGAUAGCAUCUGGGUGUGUGCUUUGUUGUAAGUACUAAACCCUAAGUCUGAAAAAGUCUGAGUCAACCUAGAGUGAUACUUCUCAACUGUCUCAAGUUUGUCCUGUAUAAUGUCAUUAAUGCAAGUAGCCUGAUCUGCUAGUUUAUCCUGUGCCCAAGCUCGAAGCUGUUCACAAAAGACUUCACCAGAACGAAAGUCAGUAUCAGAAGUAAGUGGAGCGUCAUUAAAACUCCGUUCCAUGAUUGGCCAGUAUGCAUCACCGGCUUUGAUUUCACAUAGACUAAUAAGAUCCCGCCAAGCAGCGGAGUACGUUUUACGGAUCUGAGCCAUCCGGCGGAAAAAGGGCAUAGGGUGUUUUUCAGGAUCGGGGAGUGAGGUCACAAGGGUAGCAGCUUGGGAAGGGUUAAAGGUAACAUACAUAGGCGGUGCUCCAUCCGCACCAUGGUUGAUCGGGAUGUAACCUUGAGGGAUAGUGUGCUGUUGGGGGAGCCUAUUCACCCCCACCUGGGGCGAAUUCUGGUCAACCGCAACAACCUCUUCGGGCAACACUGGGCCACGGCGGAGGGUAGCCUCAGGGGUAGCUGUAGCGGGGACAACAGGGAGGGCCGUGGUAGGUAAGGUAACUGGGUGGAAACCCGAAGCCUGGGGGGAGGCACCCAUUGCAUAGGGCUGGUCAGAUGUCCCAGACACCUCGGAUCCAACCACCAUGAUUGGGUAACUUGGACUGGCGGAAGGGACACGAGGGACCAGAGCCGUGGAAGGGGCUGUCACAGGGGCCG